UUUGAUGGAAAAGCAUCACAGAUCACAACGUACGGUCCAAGAGUGACUAAAACUGUUAAAAAAGCAAAAGUUCUCAUCUUUCUUCCAAUAAUUCUCUCAACACUCGAGAACACACUAAUUUUCACACAAAACCAGAACUGAAAGAACCCAUCAGAAGCAACAGUUUCCAAGAACUUCAAGAAUCAACAGAAAAAGAAAAACCCAAAAAAAGCAAAAAGUACAAAUUUUGAAAAAAUGGGGUUAUCAAGAAAUGGAAAGAGAAAAUAGGAAAAGACUCAAGACGGUGGAUUUAAUAAGAGAUGAAAACAAACAAAGAAAAGCUGGAAAAAUAAAGAUAAAGUUGUCUUUUUUUAGAAGUGAGGGAAAAAAGAGAAAAACACUAAAGAAAACAGAGUGAAGCUUAAGAGUGAAUCCAAGAAUCUAAAUCUGUAACAACCCCUUUAAUGGAAACUACUCUUAAGUGUCACCAACUAGUAAAAAUGGGGGAAAACUUGGGUUCAAAGAGAGGUUUGGUGUCAGAAACAGAGACAAAAAGAGAAAAACACUAAAGAAAACAGAAUGAAGCUUAAGAGUGAAUCCAAGAAUAUAAAUCUGUAACAACCCCUUUAAUGGAAACUACUCUUAAGUGUCACCAACUAGUAAAAAUGGGGGAAAACUUGGGUUCAAAGAGAGGUUUGGUGUCAGAAACAGAGACAGUUUAUGAGCUGAACAAGAAGAAUAUUUGGAAAGGAAAUGGUUAAAAUUAUGGUAAAGAGAAACAAAAAAAUCAAACAGAAAAUGCAGAAGCAGAUAAUAGAUUGGAGAUAGGAAGGAGCGGCGGGCUAAAGGAAGUGAGGGCCUGUCCAAGCGUGGCUUUGAUGGAUCAUGGAUGAACUUUCAGUAUUUUGUUAAUCAUAAUAAUACAAUUU
rnacentral:lncRNA from 1 species